rnacentral:rRNA from 1 species
UACAGAGGGUGCAAGCGUUAAUCGGAAUUACUGGGCGUAAAGCGUGCGUAGACGGUUAUGUAAGUCGGGUGUGAAAUCUCCGGGCUUAAACCCGGAGCGGCCAAGUGAUACUGUUGUGCUAGAGUGCGGAAGGGGCUACUGGAAUUCUCGGUGUAGCGGUGAAAUGCGUAGAUAUCGAGAGGAACACCUGCGGCGAAGGCGGGUAGCUGGGCCGACACUGACGCUGAGGCGCGAAAGCCAGGGGAGCGAACGGG